rnacentral:tRNA from 1 species
UUAGUUAAAGCCAAAUAGAGGCAAACCACUGUUAAUGAUUGUAAUGAGUAUUUACUCUAACUAAG